CUAAAUUAUAUACUUUAUUCAGUUUAAAACUGGAAUAAGUAAUUGUAUUAAGUUAGC
rnacentral:tRNA from 1 species